rnacentral:rRNA from 1 species
UACGAGGGGGGCGAGCGUUGUUCGGAAUUACUGGGCUUAAAGGGUGCGUAGGCGGCGCGGAAAGUUGGGUGUGAAAUCCCUCGGCUCAACCGAGGAACUGCGCCCAAUACUACCGUGCUUGAGGGAGAUAGAGGUGAGCGGAACUUAGGGUGGAGCGGUGAAAUGCGUUGAUAUCCUAAGGAACACCGGUGGCGAAAGCGGCUCACUGGAUCUCUUCUGACGCUGAGGCACGAAAGCUAGGGUAGCGAACGGG